rnacentral:rRNA from 1 species
UACGUAGGUGACAAGCGUUGUCCGGAUUUACUGGGCGUAAAGAGCGCGCAGGCGGUCGUUCAAGUCGAGUGUGAAAGCCCCCGGCUCAACUGGGGAGGGUCACUCGAUACUGAUCGACUCGAAGGCAGGAGAGGGAAGUGGAAUUCCCGGUGUAGUGGUGAAAUGCGUAGAUAUCGGGGGGAACACCAGUGGCGAAGGCGACUUCCUGGCCUGUUCUUGACGCUGAGGCGCGAAAGCUAGGGGAGCAAACGGG